rnacentral:rRNA from 1 species
GUGGCGGGGGUGAAAGUAAUAAGUUUGGGGGGAAGAAGAAAGAUGAGGAAGAGGAGUGAGUGGAUGGCAAGCGGAGGAGAGGAUCGGGGUGGUGGGCGGCGUAGCGGCAGAGGAGAGGAGCCUCGUGCCGCGGCGGGCGUACCGCAGGGGCUGGCGACGCCGGAGGGGCUGGCAACGCCGGAGGGGCUGGGCACGGGAGCGACUGUGGUGGCGCGGGAGCGGCCGGAGGGGCGGCGCGGCGGAGCGGAGCCGCGGCGGGCCGCACCUGCGCAGGCGCCAGAGGAGGGGCCAUAGGCGGGUGAGGCCCCUGGAGAGGCGGACGCUACAGAGCUCGGGCAACGAGCGAUCAUCCUCGCUCCUCAUGUCCGACUACAAGGCCGAGGGCGGCCUGCUCCAGGAACACGUUCUAAAAUUGACACGGGAGGUUCUUUUAUAAGAAGAAGUCCCCGUAUACAUAAAUAAAGAUGUGGUAUAUACGAAGAUAAGAUUAUAAAAGCCUAUGCUCUGCUUCUUUUGAUAUGGAAAUGUCCUACAGUGACUACAAGCAUUUCGUUUUUGUCGACGAUAAAAAGGAUUGCGGUAUCUUUAACAACGACCACGCUUCUCCGUAAAAAAACCUAGAAAGAACCACGCGCUACUUCGCAUAGCAUAAUAUCAUCUACCAACCCUCGUCGUACAAUCGCUACGAUCCAACGAGUAACUUGCAGUCCUACGUUUCAGUCGUUCAUCGUCACUACUUUUACCAAUGCAAAACAACCUUCUUCCUUUUCUUAGAUUUGUUCUACUUCCAAGCAGCGGUAACUUGUCCAGACGGUUAGGAUGUCGAUAGUAACCCCCAUCAUGACUAAAACCACUAGGUCUACGGUCAUGAAGAUUUUCUAAGAAUUUUCGCGGUCACCUACCUUGGCUCCUGUUGGGACCUAGAGAAUUGGGUAAAUUGAACGUCGGCAAACUACUACUACGAGGAUUACAUGGACUUAGUAUAUGAAACUAGUGCCUCAGAUUCAAAGUCCAUAGACACCUUCAAAAGAAAUUACAGAAUGAGAGACUACCGCGGGAACCGAAAGACCUACUAGAGGUGUUUUUCACACCACUGUUUCUUAAAGCAACAAGGUUAACCGCAAACCUACUCGUUCCUCCUGAACAUUCUCUACAGAGUAAGAACGUGGGUUAAUUUUAAAUAGAACCACGUUUUAAACCCUGUACAGUCCUCCAAGUCUUCGAAGCAGACAUGUCUUUGUCAGUACAACACUAAGUCUGUAGAGUUCUUUAACCACUACGUGGUAUGCCCCUGGUAAAGUAACAACUCCCUUAGACCCUACAACUUGUUCUGUCGGAUCUACUCUUGUCAACGGUGGAGUCCCAUAUAUGAUUACAUCGCAAGAGCUUCUCCUGGUAAAAAUCUCCCUUUUAUCUCGUUAGUUGCUUCCUACUUACAGCACUCCAAAAACCAGAGACCUAGUUCGAACGGGUACUAUAAAACUUCGUCCUACCGUAGAGAGCCUUUCCUCGGAGGUAGGGGUACUUGCGACUACAACUUAGUCCCGGAUCAGACUUGUAACUUCCAGGAAACCUUUUAUGUCAGCGUAUGUACCGAAGCCGUGGUAUACUAAGACCAAACUCAUCGGAACAAGGAGGGUAACUUGUAGCAGUUGUUUCGCAUCCGUGAAACCGUAGGUGAAGUGUUCUUAAGACCCCGAGUGAGCGGAGUAUAUACUCCAGGUCAGUUAAACCAGGCCAAAAUCCUCACUACGACCACCGGUAGCAAUAGAAUUACGUCCAUUGUUAGUAGCAAGACGAGUCAUCUGGGGGGUUCCAGGAGUACCAGUCAGGGCUUCGAAGACACUCGUCGAACCCAAGUAUAUCGUUCCUCUCGUAUCUCACCAACGUCUUCGCUCACUCGAAUGAGUCGCUCCUCUACGUGUACCGCCUCCGCGUGUACCUCUUCUACGCGGUGCUCAAACGUACCGAGUUCAGAGUGGAAGUUUCUGACCUCUCCAACUCCUCGUCGAGUACUGGCCGGUUCCACUUAUGCCUGCAACCAACGUACUACUUCUUACAGACAACACACAUCUCUGGCAUGUCAAUGUACUCAUGUCCCACUCUGUACAGACAACAACACACAAUCAACAAUCAGGACCAUAUCGUAACCACUCCAUGACUCCACAUAUAUAUAGGCCUGACGCGGGGCGACACGGGCCCACGUUCCACCACAUACAUAUUCCGGAACAUGUUACCCUCUACGAAUCUCUUUAUUUGGUCUGAAAGAAAUUCGUGACCACGAAUAAACAUAUCCCAUCUGCGAAUUGAUUCACAGAGAAGACAUCUUUAUCCGUGGACACGAAGUCUUUUAGAGCCAAAUAAAAAGAUUCGUGGGGAGAUUCGUAGAGGAUAACAUAUUCCGGAUUCUGCCGUGCCGUCCUACCCCUACCACCACACGUUGUUCCUUGCGACCACUGGUUUCUAUAAGUUAAAAGAUUGACGGAGAAGAGAAGAGAGGAUAGAGACGAUGAGGAUGUAUUUCCGCGGGGCGAACCUUACAGACUUUAAAAUGUUGACAUUUACUAAUGUG